CGGAAACAUGUGCCGUUUAACAGAGUAGGUGUUGGGGAUCAGUUUCCUCAUGGCAACAUGUCUUCUAUUUAUCCUUUCAAAUGGCCAGAGAUCAGACAAAAGAGACUCUCCUUGCAGUCUUCUCCAAGCUGGCUUUUCAGAUAGGUGGUGAUGGAUAUGCAGUGUGAAGUGAAGAAGGAAAGACAACUAUGAGGUUACUAGGUGACUGAAGUUGUUCCGUUGAGUUUUCUUCUGAGAUCAUGCAUGCUUGCAAAUCAUAGUUUAGUUUGGAAUCUAUGGUCUUGAAUUAGCAUUGUAUCUUGAAUUGGAUUGUAACAAAACAAAAUUCUUGUGGUAUGAAUGUAUGCUACCGAUGUGCUCUUUUUUC